rnacentral:rRNA from 1 species
AUAUCAAUAGGCGGAGGAAAAGAAACUAACAAGGAUUCCCCUAGUAACGGCGAGUGAAGCGGGAAGAGCUUAAAUUUGAACUCUGGUUUGCUUGCAAAUCCGAGUUGUAGUCUGAAGAAACGUUUUCCAUGAAAAUCGAGGCACAAGUCCUUUGAAACAGGGCAUCACAAAGGGUGAGAAUCCCGUACAUGGUCUUGAAUCUUUCAUUUUGUGAUACGUUUUCUAAGAGUCGAGUUGUUUGGGAAUGCAGCUCUAAAAUGGGUGGUAAAUUUCAUCUAAAGCUAAAUAUUGGCGAGAGACCGAUAGCGAACAAGUACCGUGAGGGAAAGAUGAAAAGAACUUUGGAAAAGAGAGUUAAACAGUAC